rnacentral:rRNA from 1 species
UACGUAGGGGGCAAGCGUUGUCCGGAUUUAUUGGGCGGAAAGAGCGUGUAGGCGGCCGCACAGGUCCGUUGUGAAAACUGGAGGCUUAACCUUCAGACGUCGAUGGAAACCGUGCGGCUAGAGUCCGGAAGAGGAGAAUGGAAUUCCUGGUGUAGCGGUGAAAUGCGCAGAUAUCAGGAAGAACACCCGUGGCUAAGGCGGUUCUCUAGUACGGUACUGACGCUGAGACGCGAAAGCGUGGGGAGCGAACAGG